ensembl:lncRNA
CACUCACACUCAUACUCACAGUGUGAUAGUUUGAUGAUGUGUUUGGUCACUCACACUCAUACUCACAGUGUGGUAGUUUGAUGAUGUGUGUUUGGUCACUCACACUCAUACUCACAGUGUGGUAGUUUGAUGAUGUGUUUGGUCACUCACACUCAUACUCACAGUGUGGUAGUUUGAUGAUGUGUGUUUGGUCACUCACACUCAUACUCAAUGUUGGUUUUAGGGCUAGAAGAGGCAACGUGAUUGGCUGAAUGUUGGUUUUAGGGCUAGAAGAGCCAACGUGAUUGGCCGAAUGUUGGUUUUAGGGCUAGAAAAGCCAACUUGAUUGGCUGAAUGUUGGUUUUAGGGCUAGAAGAGGCAACGUGAUUGGCUGAAUGUUGGUUUUAGGGCUAGUAAACAGCUCUGAUCUGAAAAGCUGGCAAAUGGCCUGAUCAGCAGUGAAACCUAACAUAUGGUUCCAAGUGGAAUGGUGUUAUUAGAUGAAUGGUGAGGCAUGAAAGGUUUAACAGCCCCACUUAGUGGCAAAAGGUUUUCAGGGAUUUUUAGCUUUGAUCAGAAGACCUACAGAGUGGAACGAUAAUUGGGAAUCAGCGAGAGGCCUCAGGAGAAAAGACAAACUCACUGAUGAAUUAUAUCUCUCUCUCUCUAUUUCACUUUCUCUAUUUAUCUAUCUAUCUCUCUGAAGUUCUGAAUGACAGGGUAUUUUUGCUAAGCCUGAGAGUUUGGGUCUCAGUUUAAAUGAAGGAGAUAGUGACAUUGCUGCUGAGUGUUUGUUCAUUUGGGGAAUGGGAGGAAGCGAGCGAUAGGAAAAAGUGUCAUAACAGGUUAAUAACAGGGUUAGUUCAGUAAUUGUCUGUAAACAUGGUCUCAUGGUGAGAAACAUGGCGAUUGUCUCAUCUCCAUACUUACACAGGCUUUCUGUAUGACAACUACAACAAUAACAGAUAUAUUUAUAUGCAUGACUAGUCUAGGGCUUUAUUUCUGGUCAGGUCACAUGGUCAAGAACAACUCCUGGCCUUAUGAGAGUGAGAUAAUGAGAUUGAGUUAAACUGAAGACUUAAAAUGAAUUGAACAAUAGUACCUACUCUAAAUGUAGGCUUAUUCUGGAUGGCAGGUUGAGGUGAUGAGGUGGUGGUUAAGGAGAGAUAUGAUUGGACGGCAGUACAGGUGUGGACUGGUGAUUGGCAAGAAGGAAUCGGAGGAGCUGAAGAGAGGGCGGCUUUUCUUUCCAACACUUUGAAGGAGAGAAAAACACAGCAAUAAUAAAGGAAUGAAUGAAUAAAAGACGAG